GUGUGAAGCUAGGGUUUACAACUUCUGCCUCUGAGGAAUGGUUUUUAACCUUUAGUGUGCAGUAGAAGGUAUUGUUAAUGUGUGUAUUUUUAGUUUUCUGUAUAACAUGUUUUAACAUCUCAAAAAACCUUUCUGGCUCGGGAGAGACUGCCCCUACCAGGGCCAGCUAACACCUGAAGAUAAUACUAACUUUCCUAGAGAAUGCUUUUCAUAUGCAAAUGAACAAAUUCCAAGUUCCUCCUGUCUAACCACCUUUUUAUCUAACUUUCACACACCCACCGAUUUUUCCCCUGUCCGAGUCAUCCCAGCGCCAGGUACCAGGAGACUAGAGACCACCCCUAUAGCCCAAAGCCCACCUUAAUUAUUCAUGUAGCCGAUUCUAAAUUGUUUACUCUGCCUUGUCUCACGUUUCCCUGGAAACCCAAUAAAGGCCCUGCUUAAGCCUUUUGGCUCACCGACCACCUGGUGUUUUGCCUUGUGACCCUGCAUGGCCUACAGUGACUCUUUCUGGGAUCUGUGUGAACAGUCAACAUUUUGGUGUCCCAGAUCAACUCUCAAACACUUGGCACACUGAGUCCCAAGGCUGUCACACUAAGAAUGCUGGACUCGACCUCUGGAGUCCUGCUUCACUGUGGCUGCAUAAGCCUAGGUUCGUACAUCUUUAAAACAGGAAUGAAAAUACCCGUCUUACCUAUUUAGGGGGUUACUGUGAGGAUCAAAUAAGACAUGUUCUGUAUGGGGAAAUGCCCUUAAAACUACAAGGUGUGCGUGUUGUCUCACUUUCUCCCAGAUUAUCUAGGAGGCAAAAGAUUUGAAAAGUUCAGAAACAGCAAUAAAUAAAACAUUUCCAGGCCACCUGUCUGGAAUCCUUCAAGCAAUUAGGUAAUAGUCACCAACUUGGUGAGGUGGCCUUCUUUUAAGUCACAAAUUACAUUGUUAGUGUGCCUUAUGAGAAAUAAUAUUGUCGGACAUUGGUGUCCGACAAUUGCAAAAGUGCACCUGGCAGUUUUAUUGCUGCUUGUCCUGUCUUUGAGCUUUUAGCUUUCCCGAAAGGCAGGGAAGUUCCUUUGAGUGUUCUUGGUCCAAGGAGAUGGUGUGGUAGCCUCAGGAAAUUAUUCAUCUGUGUCAGGCUCUCUGAUCCAAUAAUCAAGCUAUAUCCAAGUUGUAAAAAUAACUCCUCAGGUACAUUGGUGGGCAAGGUUGGAAGAUAUUCUUCUUAUGUGAACAGUAAUAUUAAUUUCCCCUGUGUAUUGAAUAUAUAUAUAUAUAUAUAUGCAUAUAUGUGAUACAUAUGGAUAGGAUAUAAAUGUUACAUAGAUAUAUAUGGUACAUGUGUGUGUGUGUGUGUGUGUGUGUGUGUGUAUGUAAUACAGGCAGAUUCCAGGACCCAGUUCCUCUCUUAACCUACACAGUUUUAAAAAUGUAUCUGUCUUGGUUUUACUGAUUCUAUAUUCAAAGGAAACUAGGAUUGUUGAAAUGCUGACUUGCUAUUCAUGUACCUUACUGGAUCUGCUAUGAAAAUUCCUCAGUAGAAAGUAAAAGAAUUGUGGUCCUAAAAUGUGAAAAGAAUAUAGUAUUUUCUGUGGCAUCUUGUGCUUUCUCUUAGAGCAAUUUGUAUUUGCUCUAUACUUAAAUUAUUAUGAUUUACUCCCCCCCCCACUCUCAGUGGGUUUCAGUUAACAUAUUUUGGGGGUGAAAUGAUGAAAAGAAAAAAAAGGAAGUUGGGCAUACAUGUCCUGGAGUAACCUUUCUCUUACCAGUCUUCCUUUUUUCCAGUUUGCAAUUCCAGAUGUUUAGGAAGUAUUUCAGUGCAGGGAAACAGCCACCUCUUUCCCUUGCUAGCUGCUGUUUUAAUCUUUGAGCUUCAAAUUCUUCAUCUGUAAAAUCUUGAUGAUAAAACAUAAUGCAGUGGCUGCAAGGAUUAUAUAAGUGGUCAUUUCAUGGGUGUUCUGAACAUUAAUUCUCCCUUUUUUCAAAUAUGUAAAUAUCUUCCAUAUUGCUUGUUAUUUUACCAAUACGAUUUUUCCUCUGAAUAAAACAGCACAUCCCCAACUCCUUUCUGUGCAAGAGAAGGUACUGAUAAGUUUUCUGUGAGAAAAGGUUUCCACAGUUGAAUACCUUAAGGGAACUGCUGUAUGUACAUUCUCAUCCUCUCCUAGAGAUUCAUAUAUAAAAAAACCUCUGAGAAAUCUGCUUUACUGUGUUUAUCAAUGUUUCCCAAAACUAUCUGACCCUGGGAAAAAACCCAUUCUUUUACUUUCCCCAUGAAAUAGUGAUGAACAUGUCACAGGAAAAUGGAUAGAGUUUGAAGAACACUGAGUAAAUGUACUUGGAGUUCCAGAACUCCUGGUGACUACCACCAGACUUGUCAAAUCAAGAAGUCCAGGGGAAGGGAUGCCCAAUAUCAGUGGGUUACAUUUAGCUUAUCACAUUACCUUACAAACUUUAGCUGUAUAGCUGCGGUCAAUAUGUCUUCCUUCCUCUCCCUAAAGUUUUAGUUUCUCACCUAGGAAAGGGAAGAAAUUUGGAUCAGUAGGAGCAUCUGUUUCACUUCCGUGGCCCAUAGUGGCUCUUUCUCUUUCAAGUACAUAUUACUGAUGUUCUAGUUACAGGACUGUUGUCUCAUAUUCAAAUUUUAAUUCUUCCUCACCCCCUCCCCUCACCUAAUGAUCUGCAUUCUUAUUUCACCUAAGAAAUGGACAUAAAUCAGAAGAGAACUUAACACCUCUCUCUCUUUUGAUUUAUCUACAACUGUACUCAUAUGUUCUGCCUCUACUUCUUUUAUGGUGUUAAGUUCCCAAUCUUUUCACCAAUCCUUUGGAUCUCUUCCCGUCUAAUCUACCUAAGGAUUUUACUUCUAGAAUCAUCAGUUUUCUCUUCUCAACUAGCUUAUUCCCAUUAGCUUAUAAAUACGCUGUAAUGUCCCAUCUUAAAACAAAACUUUCCCUUAACCUCACAAACUCCAUAGUUUUUUCUUCCUUUCUCUGCUUCCUUUUAUAGCAGAAUAGCCCAUCUCUAUACACUGUUCCCAAUUCUAUUCCAAGCCUCCUUUUGCUUACAGAUAUAAACAAAGUAUUAUAUCAUAUAACAUUUGGUAAUACAUAUGAAACUAAAGUUACGAAUCAUAAAAAAAUCAUUACCCAUGAACUUAUCACCUUACUCAAGGACUACACUUUGCAUUUACCUGUGUGCUUCCUCCUUCUCUCACCCUCCUGCCUUCUCAUCUAUCCUUGGUAAUGAUUUAUACAUUUUGUGUUCUUUCAUUUUGUAAAAACAAUUGGUUGUAUUAUGGUUGUUGUAUAUAUAAAGAUAUAACUAUUUCUAACACAAU